rfam:Rattus norvegicus chromosome 2, whole genome shotgun sequence.
GGGGAUUUAGCUCAGUGGUAGAGCACUUGCCUAGCAAGCGCAAGGCCCUGGGUUUGAUCCCCAGCUCCA